ACGAGAGAAGCUUGCUUUCUCGGCGUCGAGCGGCGGACGGGUGAGUAAAGUCUGGGAAAUUGCCCUGAUGUGGGGGAUAACCAUUGGAAACGAUGGCUAAUACCGCAUGAUGUCUACGGACCAAAGAGGGGGACCUUCGGGCCUCUCGCGUCAGGAUAUGCCCAGAUGGGAUUAGCUAGUUGGUGAGGUAAUGGCUCACCAAGGCGACGAUCCCUAGCUGGUCUGAGAGGAUGAUCAGCCACACUGGAACUGAGACACGGUCCAGACUCCUACGGGAGGCAGCAGUGGGGAAUAUUGCACAAUGGGCGCAAGCCUGAUGCAGCCAUGCCGCGUGUAUGAAGAAGGCCUUCGGGUUGUAAAGUACUUUCAGCAGUGAGGAAGGGAGUAGUUUUAACAGAGCUGCUUUUUGACGUUAGCUGCAGAAGAAGCACCGGCUAACUCCGUGCCAGCAGCCGCGGUAAUACGGAGGGUGCGAGCGUUAAUCGGAAUUACUGGGCGUAAAGCGCAUGCAGGUGGUCUGUUAAGUCAGAUGUGAAAGCCCGGGGCUUAACCCCGGAGUUGCAUUUGAAACUGGCAGGCUAGAGUACUGUAGAGGGGGGUAGAAUUUCAGGUGUAGCGGUGAAAUGCGUAGAGAUCUGAAGGAAUACCGGUGGCGAAGGCGGCCCCCUGGACAGAUACUGACACUCAGAUGCGAAAGCGU
rnacentral:rRNA from 1 species